CUUAUUGGGCUCCUGUCUGCAGGAUUUACGCGCACGUUGGAACCGAAGAGAGCUCUGUUGUUGCAAUGUUCAGCCCACAAGACCUUACUGGUGAAGGAAUGGGACAAGACCCAUCUUUAUGCAAAGCCAGCGUUACAGUAAUGUCCCAGCAUCUCAUAAUCUAUCCUGGGGAAUUCAGCUGCCUCCCAGGGUGAAUACAGGUAAUUAUCCAAAUUGGUGUAUGUCAUCUUUGUAAAUGUUCACAAGAAAACAAGUGGCCGGCGGAAGCAAUGUUUUUUGGCGCCUUCCAUCUUGUUCCUCUUGAAAUGAUUUUCUGGGGAGGGAGAUCGCAACCCGGUACUACAGUUCUUGUAAGGGUGUGCUGUUACCCUCAUCCAUAUAUCGAUCACGUUACUGUCAGAUGAUUUGAAUUGAUAAGCUGAUGUUCUGUGAGGUACAAAAGUUAAUAGCAUGUUAGAGUUCUGAUGGCAGUUGUUGUUUAUGAAUAAGCUUCACUCCAUCCUAAUACCUUAAAAUAACUAAUUUGCUUUCCUUUCCAGGUAUUCCUGAUGACAGUCUGCCUUCUAUCUUACAGUAAGUUGUUUUUCGAAUUCUGUGGGCCUAUUAUCUAAUAGAUAACUUAGGCAUUUUGAUAUUUGUUACCAAAGCCU
rnacentral:sRNA from 1 species